CCACUUCAUUUCCUCCUCUCUAAGAAGAGUACGAAGUCUUUUUUCGGCCUCAAAUCUGAGAUGACGAUCAUUUUCAUCCAACAAACACCACUCAGCCUUUCGAUCAAGCUCAUCUAUAAAUUUAAUGAGCCUUUCCCGCUCAUCUUUAUAUGUCCGCGAGACAUGCUUAGCCCAACCACGAAGGUAUUGUCUCAGAUGUCUAAUUUUAUUUUGCCAUCGUUCUACAUUAGAUGCUCC
rnacentral:lncRNA from 1 species